UACGUAGGGGGCAAGCGUUGUCCGGAAUCAUUGGGCGUAAAGAGCGCGUAGGCGGUCCGGUAAGUCCGCUGUGAAAGUCAAGGGCUCAACCCUUGAAUGCCGGUGGAUACUGUCGGGCUAGAGUCCGGAAGAGGCGAGUGGAAUUCCUGGUGUAGCGGUAAAAUGCGCAGAUAUCAGGAGGAACACCAAUGGCGAAGGCAGCUCGCUGGGACGGUACUGACGCUGAGGCGCGAAAGCGUGGGGAGCAAACAGG
rnacentral:rRNA from 1 species